AUGGUCCAGUUCAUGUCCCAGCCUUUCCAUGAAGCUCUUAAAGGAGAUCAUAGCUUAACUUUCCUACGCAGGCAAGAUGUCUCGACAUCUUGCACAGGGAUAUUCACACAAGAGGCUGCGAGAUGUCCACCAAGAGGACAGGAUCAGGUCUCUGACCGGGAGGUCAGCGUCUCUUCUCCUGGUUUAUGGGGUUCCACUGGCAGGAGGACUCUGCACUCCACUGAAGCUUGGACUCGGGCUGAGACUUACAGUCCACAGGGGACUGAGGGAGAGGGAGGGCGUAACUGGGGCAUCAUAGAUGCAGUAAGUUCCAAUGGCUGCUUUUCAGUCACUAGUAGAAACCUAUGA
rnacentral:lncRNA from 1 species